rnacentral:rRNA from 1 species
UCGUCAGCUCGUGUCGUGAGAUGUUGGGUUAAGUCCCGCAACGAGCGCAACCCUUAUUGUUAGUUACCAGCACGUAAUGGUGGGGACUUUAGCAAGACUGCCAGUGAUAAAUUGGAGGAAGGUGGGGACGACGUCAAAUCAUCAUGCCCCUUAUGACCUGGGCUACAAACGUGAUACAAUGGCUGUUACAAAGGGUAGCUGAAGCGCAAGUUUUUGGCGAAUCUCAAAAAAACAGUCUCAGUUCGGAUUGAAGUCUGCAACUCGACUUCAUGAAGUUGGAAUCGCUAGUAAUCGCGAAUCAGCAUGUCGCGGUGAAUACGUUCUCGGGGUUUGUACACACCGCCCGUCAAACCACGAAAGUUGGCAAUACCCAAAGCCGGUGGCCUAACUUCGCAAGAAGAGGGAACCGUCUAAGGUAGGGUCGAUGAUUGGGGUUAAGUCGUAACAAGGUAUCCCUACCGGAAGGUGGGGAUGGAUCACCUCCUUU